ACCGCAUGGGAGGAUAACACAGUUAAUGGCUGUCCCAAAGUCAGUUUCCCUGCAUCCUUGAGCAAAACAGCAAUGGCGGCUUCCCCACGCAGACAGGGGGCCAUCCUAGAUUGGAAGAGCAC